GGAGCCUGCGAAGAAAAACACACCAAGAGAGAGUUGGUCUUAUUACCUGGUCUCGGGUGAAUGAGAAGGCUAGCUUACACACAGAGGCACUAAGACACAGUCACCAGAACGGCAACGCAGACUCCAGGGUCCAACUGCCAAGGCCAAAGCCAUCACAGAGUGGAUGGACAUACGGAUGAGGGUCGGCAUCUCUGCAUUACUGGGGAAGAGGCAGAACUCUUUCUGCUGCUUCCCCUAUAGAAGCAGAAACUCACGUAGCAGAUCUGACCGACCGAUGAUGGGAAAUGGCCCUUUCUGCAAGGGUUUUAGACACCAAAGGGUUAAGGGUGACUAACACACCCAUGACCCCGAAGCAAGUCUUUUAGAGUUUGCCCAUGCUUGGGCUGAUGGAGGUCAAUCUUUACAGCAGGUGCGAAUGAAGCCGUUUAGAUGCGGUUCUGGUAAGAGGGUCUCCACGUUCACACACCACCAGAGCAACACAGAAGCAGCUGCCCACUCCUGAAGCCACCCCAUCAUGACAGAGCCCCCACACAGCAACAUCCCCAGAAUAGUUCAUAAGCACCUAGAAGCUCCACAACCAAAAAAAAGCACAGCGGGAUUCAUUUAGGGCUGAACUCUGCACAAGUGUGGUUAUUAGCGAGUUUUCUUUUUUGCAUCCAGCAAUCUGACAUAUCCCCAAAUCAAACAUAACUAGAAUUGGACAGACCCAAACCCCUGUCACGUCAUUGCUCCUAAAUGACUGGAACUUCCACACUACUAUGGGGUCCAUUUAGCAUCUCCAAUCUGCGCCCUGUCGUUCCUCUGAAGUGAAAUGACUCAUGAGUAACAGAAAACAGCCAAUUGAGGCAACAGUGUUCUGAGAAACGCUGGUUUAUGGGGCGGUUCAAAAAGAAAUCUGAACAAAAAGUUGCUGGAUGCAGAAAACAAAAACACGAAAUAAUAAAAAGGCAAAAUGUAAACAAAUGAAAAAAAAAAAAAAGAAACAGGCAUAACACCAAGCUGAUGAAGUUGUUUGUACUGCACCUUCUUUCUGCUUUUGGCUAAUUUCUGGGCCAUCUGCUUAGCAUGGAACAAACAAAGACAGGAGAACAGUUAGAAAAGAAAUUUGCAGAGACUCAAAGUCCAAAAGGGAGCGGACAGAUCAAUACUUGUGGUAUAAAGCAUUGUGGUGGGAGGAGGACUGGUUUUUUAAAAAAAACAAACAAACACCUACUUGUAAGAUAAAUUAUGUCCCAAAUCAGGAUUUAAUAUGUGGUGAGGGAGGUGGGAUGAAGGAAAUGUACAGAGGUGCUUCUUACGCUUAAUGGCAAUUGACUUUUUCAAAGAAUUUCUGCUUUUAAUUCUACUUUAUAGUAUGUUUAUUUUCUUACUAUAUAGAGUCUAGCCUAGAUUAUAUCUGCUUUCUUUGGGCUUAAUUUGCCCGCUUUUUCAGUAUCUUGAGAUAAAGACUUAAACUAUGGCUUCUCAAACUCUUUUCUUAUGUUUAAAGCUAUGACUCUCCCUGUAAGCAUGGCUUUGGCUUCAUCCCACAAAUCUUGGCAUGCUACAUUUACUGCUUUCCACUAAAAUACUUCAUGAUUUCACCUGAUUUCUUCUUUGAAUCUUGAGUCAUUCAGAAUUGUGUUAUUAAUUUCAACACACCAGGGGAUUUUCUAGUUAUUUUUUGGUACUGGUUUCUGCAUUAAUUUUAUUACGGUCAGAAGGCAAACUGUGUGUGAUUUCAAUCUGCUGACAUUUGCUGAGUCUCUGUUAUGACGCAGCACACAGUUAACUUUGGUGAAUUUGUCAUACAGACAUCAAAAUACACAUUCUGAAGUUGUUGGUUAAGAUGAUUGUUCAGAUUUUCUGUGUGCCUGCUGAUUAUUUGCUUUAUUUAGUUGAGAAAGGCAUGCUAAAAUUUCCAGCUGUUACUGUGGAUUUGUCUAUGCAUCCUUCUAGUUCUGACAAUCUUUGCUUUAUCUAUCUUUAUCUAGCUAUGUUAGAAGGGGCUUAUAUUUAGGAUGGUAUAUCUUCCUAUUCAACUGAUACUUUCAGUGCUAUUCUUCAUCUCUAGCAAUACUUUUUCCUUAAGUAUAUAUAGCAUUAACAUAGUUUAUAGCUAACUAAAAAUGGACAUAUUUCCUCUUUGCUAGUAACUAAAAGAUAGAAUAGUUGAUAAAAGCUGGGACUGGGUUAUCUCAAGCCAAAUCCUGACUCUGACAUCUACUAGCUGUGCAGCUUUGAGCAGCAGAUUAAUGCCUAUGUCCUUUAGUUUUUUCAUCUCUAAAGUGAGGCUUAAAAAUAGUAUCUACCUUAUGGGGCUGUUUUGAGACUAAAUGAACACGUGCAAAGCUCUUCAAAUAGCAUUAUUAAGAGCCGUAUUUGUGCCUGCUGAAUAUGAUUAUUAUUACCUAUACUGGAAUGCAAUUCCUGGUUUUUUGUAAGGUUUGCUAAAUAUACACACACAGAUCUUAUAUGAAUAGUGGUGAAUCAGUGGUCAAACUGUGGGCGCUGUCUUGAUGGGUGUGGUGUAUGGAGGAAAAGCUGCUGGACCACAUUCCUUGGUACUCACCUGGCAGGAAUCUUUUUUGCUCUCAGCAGGACUUCUAUCUUAUUAACAACUAAAAUGUGUUGCUUGCACUCCCUCACUGUGGAGAAACUGGAUGAGACAGCCACUGAAACACCAAAUAGCUAAUCUAGUACACCCAGGAAAGUGGGGCAGCCCUGUCCCCACGCAGCAGCCCCACAGCUCUCCCCGGCAGUUUCGAGUUCCUGGGAGACCCUCUGCCCUGGAGACACUGAAGGCAGCAACUGCCUGUCAGCCUAACUGCUGCAUGUGGCAGUGGGAACAUCUGUGCAUCUGAGAAGUGGUCCUCAACCGGAGCUGUGCCGUGCUAGAGGUUCCUGUGCGGAAUCUGGGUGUACUGCCCAGGUGGGCCCUUUACAACCUGCCUGGUAAGUAACUGCUGAGACCUGGGGGUUUCCUGCUGCCUCUUCUGAAGUAAGGUAAUGCACUGGGAAUUUCUGUCAUGUUUAAAGCCACAAACUGAAGACUGGCUGGUCAAAAGUCUUUACCUGUAGGGCACUGUAACUUGAAAGAACCCUUUUAUAGGAGAACAGACUCACCACCAAUGGAAACUCAAAUUUUGUUUGCCCUGGACCCACUAGUGAGGAAGGAUAUCAUAAACACAAACUGAGUAUCCUGAAAAAGAUUUUGAAGUGAUUAUUAUGAGGCUAAAGAUAUUUUAUCCACUUAGUGUAAUAAUCAUCUGAAAAUCACUUAUGACAUCCAAGUGCCCUGCUACAAAUUAGAAUAUAAAAUUUGGAUGUGAGAUGGAAAGUGGGGGAAGCCAACCAGAAUGAGAAAUCAGAGUAUCAGAAAGAGGUGUCAGGGAAACAGGGCUAGCCCGCAACACAGAGCAAAAAUGACAAUAUCCAUUUAAGUCUCUGUGCUUUAUGAGAUCAGUCACGGCUUAUAAGCCAGUGGAUUGAGGUGCAAAAACCAGACUGUGGCCCCAUACGUAGGCUCAAACCUAGUGUUGAUUUAAAAUUUGUGGCUUUAAAUGUAACAGAAAUUCUAUUGCAUUGCUUUACUUUGGAAAGCAGAGCAGGAAGCAUUCAGGGCUCAGCAGUUAUCUGCUGUGGCUGAGCCAUCUAGGUUAGUUCUAGCUUUUUCUUCCCUAGCCAACAUCUGCUGCUGUAGGAUAGGAUCCUACUUAACAGUUUACAUUAAGUCAGUAUAAAAAUUUACAACCGUGGAGGUAGGUGCCGCAUUAUACUCACUUUUCAGAAGAGGAAACUGCGGCAGAGAGAGGGGCUCAUUAAUUUGCCUAACCUCACACAGCUAUAAAGUGGCAGAACAGAGAUGCCAGUGCAGGCCGUCCCAGAGCACAUUCUGUGCCACCUGCUGAGGACUGGGAAGCCUGUAUUCUAAGAGUUCAGUUUGCCUAUGAAAUGUGAUUGAACUUUCUCACUUUCCAGAAUUUCUGACCCUUUGCAUUUUGAGGGGCAAAUGAGCUAUUGUAUGUGGGUGCUAGUAUAUGCUUUACUGAUCACACAAGCAAGAUGGGAAAUGGUGUAACUCAAGACAAAACUCAAUGACAGAAACUUUAAUUCUAUAAUAAACUCAUAAUUUUUGACAUCUAAAGAAAAUACAGUGGUACUUCAGUUCAUGAACUUCACUCUUUCCACAUCUCUGGUCACCAACCAAAGUGGAUGAGAACUAAAUCAAAUUCGAUGGUUAGCAUCAAUGUUAACCUUAUGGGGAAGCUUGAUUAGGUUCUUGUCCAAUUCAGUUUGCAAACAGAAAUGUGGAAAGAGUUAACGAAGUUCAUGAAUGGAGGGACCACUGUAACAAAAGAAUGAAAAAUCUGGUCUGUAGGAUAGGUUCGUACAGACAGACAGGAGAGUGUUUAAUAAUGAAUGUUCCUUGCAAAAACACUUGCACUAUGAAAUACAUUAACACCAUCUGUGACGUAGUUACAUGAACUUCAUAGAGACAGAAGAAUGGAGAUGCAGGCGGCACACUUUGCACGGUCAAGCAGCAGACUCUGGCUCAGGUAGGGCUCAGUGAGCCGCCUGCACAGAAUUAAUUGAGAAUAAGGAUGCGACGUAAGGAUGGAGUCAUAAUGGACAGAAGGAAGACAGGCGAACCAGCUGCAUUGGCUUCAAGUUUCACACUCUCUCAAUGGGGCAGGCACAGUGUGACCACUGUGUGCCUCUGUGUAGGGCACAAGAGACACCCACAGGACAGAAGGCAAAGCUCUCUUCAGAAGCUUCUCUCAAACUUGCUUCCAGAGUGCUAGCAACAAGACAUGAGCAGGUAACACCUGCUGAUAGUGUAUUCUGUGCUCACACCAUCAGGGGACUCAUAAAUGAGGUCUCCUUAAUUCAGGACUCCUCAGCUUGUUCCCCAUUUCUAUUACUAAUUGUACCUAUUAGUGGGGUUCUAUAUGACAUUUCCAUAUACGCAUGCUCUGAUCACUGACCACCCCUUCCUGCUCCCCAUCCCCAGCACCAUUCCAUCUCUUCUGAUCACUAUUCCAAUCUCAGGCUUUUUAUAGCUUCCAUAUGAGAAAACAUUCAGCACUUGUCCUCCUGUGUCUGGCUUAUUUCAUUUAAUGUCCUUCCGCUCCAUCCAUUUUGCUGCAAAUGAUAGGCUCUCAGUCCCAUUUAUGGCUAAUACUACGUUGUGUAUUAUACUACAUUUCCUCUUUAUCUGUUGAGAAGCUCAUUCUACACCUUGGUCAUGUGUACAGAGAAGUCCUUGGUGUGUUAAUUUCAUUUAUUUUGGAUAUAUACAUGGCAGAUCUAUUUCUGCUGUUUCAGAGGGACCUUCAAAGUGUUUUCCAUAAUAGCUGGCCUAAAGUACCACCAAGAGUGUAUAAGACUUCUUUUUUAUCCACAUUCUUGCAAGCAUUAUUGCUUUUUGGGUAACAGCAAUCCUCAAAAGGAUGGAAUGGUGUCUCAUUUUAGCUUGCCCUGAUAUGCAUUUCCCUGCUGGCUAAUGAUACUGAACUUUUUUGGCCAUUUGUAUUUCUUAGAAGUGUCUAUUCAGAUCAUUUGCCAUCUCCACCUUUUUUGAGAUGCACUCUUGCUAUAUUGUCUAGGCUAGCCCUAGACUCCUGGGCUAGGGUGAUCCUGCUACCUCAGCCUCCUAUAUAGCUAGGACUAGCAGUGCUUCAACACCCUUUUAAAACUGAAUUACUUCUCUUAGUAAGUCUGAGUUCUUUAUAUAUUCUUGUAUUAAUUUAGUCAAAUGAAUUAGAAAUAUUUUCCCAUUCUGUAGGUUCCUUCACUUUGCUGUUUCCUUUGUUACGCAGAAGUUUUUAAUGCAAUCCCAUUUGUCAAUUUCUGCAAUUGUUUCUUGUGCUUUUGGAGGGCUAUCUAGAAAAAUCAUUAUUGAUACUAAUAUCUUGAAGGAUUUCCUCUGUUCUUCUAGUAGUUUCAGAACCCUAAGUUUAGGUCUUUGAUCCAUCUUGAGUUGAUUUUUGUUCCCACCCAGAAGCCAACCAGGCAGCCUUUCUGGUAAGCCAUAAAAACCACAUGGCAUCCAGGAAGAGAGAAAUCACCUCUGGUGAGCCUGCUGGCCCACAGACUGAGAAUCAAGAACCAUGCUCCCAGCCCUACGUUCGAAUGAACUAUGGAGCUUCUGAAAACCAAUCCCUUGGAAGCUUCGGAGUAAAAUUUCUGACUUCUUAUGAGGGAGCUGGGCUUUCAGGGAAACGCAACACUAUUACAUGCUGCUGUGUAAACAAGAAACCACCGGUUCCAGAUCCAGCUGGCACCAGAUGGGGCCUGCAGAGAUGCUGCUGUACCCCACUUGCUCAGGUAAGGUGCCUACCUUCCCCUGACGACCGUCUGAGUCCUAUCUUCCCACUCCCCUCUGAGACUGAAUGCAGACAUUCCACUGACAGGUGUGCAGCACUAGCAGAAAGUGAAUACACAAAGCGCCCAAAAUAAAACCUGAAUCUGAAGAUUUUAUAAAACACGUAGGAGAACCUAACCUCCGGCAACACGCAAUUUUCUCUCCCUGAGGUCUCCAGUGCUCCUGAGGGGCAGACUUGCUUUCUUUGGAAGAGCACCUGAGUGGGUUCUGAAUGCGUGUCUUGGGGUGGGCACUGUGGCAUUUUGGUGGAGGUAAGUUUGUGUUGUGUGUGUGGCUUGGUCCUGGCCAUCACAGAAUGGUGGGCACACAUACUCGUUCUGGUUCUAGAAUUACUGUGACAAGCAGAAGUGCCCGUCCCCACCUGUCAGAGAACCACUGGAGAGGGUACACAAGGUCUCUGUCUUCUCCCUCUGGAAGCUAACAGGACCCCAGCUAGAAACCUGGAGCUAGGUAUACUACCUGGAGGACAGGAACGACCAAUGAUGGCCCCGUGGCCUCUGCAUGAGGCAGCACAAGAGGGUCCCUGAAAAGUAGCUCGCUCUCUAUGACAGGGCUGUGUGGUAUUCUGAAUGCUGUGCCUGGCAGAUGCUGAAUUCAGAUGCAGAUGACCACUGGGGAGUCUGCUAUCAUUAACGUCACCUCUCAAGGGCAGGAAAGAUGAGUCCACGUGGUAUCUACAGUUCGGGUCCGGAAUGUUCCCACAUAUUAAAGGCCUGGCUGCCAGACUGUGGCAUUCUUGGGGGGUGAAGGGGUAGGGUCUACAGUGAGAAGUUCUCCCUUCUUUCUCCCUCUCUCUGCCUCCUAGUCCCCAGAAGCUGAGCAGUUUUCUGCACCACAGGCUCAAGGCAAUGUGACUACAUGACCACGGACUGAAAUACCUCUGAAUAAAGCUACCUUUCUUCCUGUCAGUGUGAUAAAGUUAUUAACACAGCAAGCUUGGGCAGGCAGCUCAUAAAUUUACCACGGCUCUGGGUGCCUCUUGGGAGCCAGCAGAAUGAAGGUCCUGGUAUUUCUAGGAGUUAUUUACGGGGAAAGAUGCACCACUGUGAAGGGCCAGAGGGAGCGGGGAAGGAGACUUCCCUUGGAAGAACCCACUCCCCACUUCAUCUGUGGGGGAAGGGCUAUUUUAGGAGAAGACAGGACAGGAGGGGGCUGCAGGGCUUCUGAGAGACAGGCACGCUUUGCGUCCCAGCUGAGACAGCUGAAUGGGCCCCCACAGACGGAUGGAUGAGCGAGCCCUGUCGGUAACACUGGCACUAGUUGGCAGUAACGUAAAUUACUCCUUAUCCAUCCUAAGCAGGACCGAAAGUGGCAGCGUGGAGCUACUGUACACACGAUGGGCAGUUAAGGAAAGGACCCGCUCUGAAGAGAAGCAGCGAGUGACACACGAAGGACAUGUAGGCCCCGCAGCAGGUGCAAUGCAAAGCCGCAUGAUGAAGCAAUGAGAGGGGACCUGGUGACAUUCGCACAGCAUCAUGGGGAACUGCAGCAUAGCUGGGGGCGCCAAGGCAUCAUAAUUAGGGCAGCAACGGAACUGUGACCUGUCCAACGUUUGCCACAGGGCAGAGCCAGGACACGGGCCGUCACAGGUAUCCGUUCAGCUGAAGGACAUGUGACCAUCACAGGUAUCCCUUCAGCUGACGGACAGGCCUACAGCAGUCACCACUCUCCCUGUCAGUCCACUCUGAGGACCCCCCCACCCCGUACUCCCUGUAAUCUGUGGGCUGAGGUCUACCUGUGCUGUUGAACUUACAGGUCUCACUUUACCAAUCACUACUUUUUUUUUUCCUCCAAAGCCCAUUAACACAAUAGCCACCAGGAAGAUUCUGUCAGAGAGAUCAGAGACCUCAUUUACUGUCUCCUCUCCCUCCCGCCUCAUUCCAUGUUACACCAGCACCCACUCUGAGAAUGUGGAGGACACGGAAAGGGGAGUGACUCUUCUGGUGUGGCAUUAAGGGUAUCAAGUAUGAGCAGGUGGAAUGGAAUAAAACUUAUUUUGGUGAAAA